rnacentral:rRNA from 1 species
AAAGGCUUAGUGGCGGACGGGUGAGUAACGCGUGGGUAACCUGGCCCAUACAGGGGGAUAACACUUAGAAAUAGGUGCUAAUACUGCAUAACAACAGAAAGCGCAUGCUUUUUGUUUGAAAACCAAGGUGGUAUGGGAUGGACCCGCGUCUGAUUAGCUGGUUGGCGGGGUAAAGGCCCACCAAGGCGACGAUCAGUAGCCGGCCUGAGAGGGUGGACGGCCACAUUGGGACUGAGACACGGCCCAAACUCCUACGGAAGGCAGCAG